rnacentral:rRNA from 1 species
AGCAGCCGCGGUAAUUCCAGCUCCAAUAGCGUAUAUUAAAGUUGUCGCAGUUAAAAAGCUCGUAGUUGAAUUUCGGGAUUGGCGCAUCGGUCGUGCCUCACGGGGUAUGAACUGGUGCAGUCAAUUUCUCACCUUCUGGAGAACCGCGAUGUCCUUAAUUGGAUGCCGCGGGGAACCAGGACCUUUACUUUGAAAAAAUUAGAGUGUUUAAAGCAGGCAUUUUUGCUUGAAUACAUUAGCAUGGAAUAAUAAAAUAGGACGGCAUGGUUCUAUUUUGUUGGUUUCUAGGACCACCGUAAUGAUUAAUAGGGAUAGUUGGGGGCAUUAGUAUUCAAUUGUCAGAGGUGAAAUUCUUGGAUUUAUUGAAGACUAACUACUGCGAAAGCAUUUGCCAAGGAUGUUUUCAUUAAUCAAGAACGAAAGUUAGGGGAUCGAAGACGAUCAGAUACCGUCGUAGUCUUAACCAUAAACUAUGCCGACUAGGAUCAGAAGAUGUUAAUUU